rnacentral:lncRNA from 1 species
AUGCACGUGCAAAUCACGUGAGUUGGGCAGGGGUAAAAUUGUCACUUCACUUACAAUUGACAUGAGGUCCAAUUUUCAUCCCAUUCUCUGUUCUAUUUGACUAGAUUUCCUUCAUUUUGACUUAUCUUCUUCAAGCACUCUUUUAUUUUUAUUAUUUUUCCUUAUUUCUUUUGAUACUAUUUCGAUUUCUUCUUCCAUCUUCUCUUCCCCUUUCUUCUCUUUGGUUUCAUUUUAUUGGAAUUUUCACUUCAACCUCCGCUGAAUCCAACUGAACGGCCACCCACUGAUCCGCCGGAAAGUGGUAGGUGGUCCCGCGGAGCUUUCGGAAAAGGGUACCGAAUGCUCAUACGGGAAAGUUGACUCCUGGGUCUGGUUGCUCCGAGAAAUCCUUUCUUUCUCGUCCACUCAGGGGGGUGCUGAUCCACCUCCGGCGCUGCUGCUGCCGCCUCCUCUGGCUCCACCACCGCUAUUGUCGCCUCUGAGGAACAACCAUGGGUGAGGAGGCGAAAAAUGAUUGCGAUUGAUUUCAAUUGCUUUUUUAUUGUUUAAUUUGCUGGGUAAGAGAUUAUUGAG